rnacentral:rRNA from 1 species
AUAAACGACUCUCGGCAACGGAUAUCUCGGCUCACGCAUCGAUGAAGAACGUAGCAAAAUGCGA